GGCUGGUCCGAAGGUAGUAAGUUAUCUCAAUUGAUUGUUCACAGUCAGUUACAGAUUGAACUCCUUGUUCUACUCUUUCCCCCCUUCUCACUACUGCACUUGACUAGUCUUUA
rnacentral:Y_RNA from 1 species